CGUAACAAGGUCUCCGUAGGUGAACCUGCGGAGGGAUCAUUACACAAAUAUGAAGGCGGGCUGGAAUCUCUCGGGGUUACAGCCUUGCUGAAUUGUUCACCCUUGUCUUUUGCGUACUUCUUGUUUCCUUGGUGGGUUCGCCCACCACUAGGACAAACAUAAACCUUUUGUAAUUGCAAUCAGCGUCAGUAACAAAUUAAUAAUUACAACUUUCAACAACGGAUCUCUUGGUUCUGGCAUCGAUGAAGAACGCAGCGAAAUGCGAUAAGUAGUGUGAAUUGCAGAAUUCAGUGAAUCAUCGAAUCUUUGAACGCACAUUGCGCCCUUUGGUAUUCCAAAGGGCAUGCCUGUUCGAGCGUCAUUUGUACCCUCAAGCUUUGCUUGGUGUUGGGCGUCUUGUCUCUAGCUUUGCUGGAGACUCGCCUUAAAGUAAUUGGCAGCCGGCCUACUGGUUUCGGAGCGCAGCACAAGUCGCACUCUCUAUCAGCAAAGGUCUAGCAUCCAUUAAGCCUUUUUUUCAACUUUUGACCUCGGAUCAGGUAGGGAUACCCGCUGAACUUAAGCAU
rnacentral:rRNA from 1 species